rnacentral:rRNA from 1 species
GAUCCUGGCUCAGGACGAACGCUGGCGGCGUGCCUAACACAUGCAAGUCGAACGGAACUUCUUUAAAGGAUUUCUUCGGAAUGAAUUUGAUUAAGUUUAGUGGCGGACGGGUGAGUAACGCGUGAGUAACCUGCCUCUAAGAGGGGAAUAACACUCUGAAAAGAAUGCUAAUACUGCAUAACAUAUAUUUAUCGCAUGGUAGAUAUAUCAAAGAUUUAUCGCUUAGAGAUGGACUCGCGUCCGA